AAAUUGAAGAGUUUGAUCAUGGCUCAGAUUGAACGCUGGCGGCAGGCCUAACACAUGCAAGUCGAGCGGUAGCACAGAGAGCUUGCUCUCGGGUGACGAGCGGCGGACGGGUGAGUAAUCUCUGGGAAACUGCCUGAUGGAGGGGGAUAACUACUGGAAACGGUAGCUAAUACCGCAUAACGUCGCAAGACCAAAGUGGGGGACCUUCGGGCCUCAUGCCAUCAGAUGUGCCCAGAUGGGAUUAGCUAGUAGGUGGGGUAAUGGCUCACCUAGGCGACGAUCCCUAGCUGGUCUGAGAGGAUGACCAGCCACACUGGAACUGAGACACGGUCCAGACUCCUACGGGAGGCAGCAGUGGGGAAUAUUGCACAAUGGGCGCAAGCCUGAUGCAGCCAUGCCGCGUGUGUGAAGAAGGCCUUCGGGUUGUAAAGCACUUUCAGCGGGGAGGAAGGCGUUAAGGUUAAUAACCUUGGCGAUUGACGUUACCCGCAGAAGAAGCACCGGCUAACUCCGUGCCAGCAGCCGCGGUAAUACGGAGGGUGCAAGCGUUAAUCGGAAUUACUGGGCGUAAAGCGCACGCAGGCGGUCUGUCAAGUCGGAUGUGAAAUCCCCGGGCUCAACCUGGGAACUGCAUUCGAAACUGGCAGGCUAGAGUCUUGUAGAGGGGGGUAGAAUUCCAGGUGUAGCGGUGAAAUGCGUAGAGAUCUGGAGGAAUACCGGUGGCGAAGGCGGCCCCCUGGACAAAGACUGACGCUCAGGUGCGAAAGCGUGGGGAGCAAACAGGAUUAGAUACCCUGGUAGUCCACGCCGUAAACGAUGUCGAUUUGGAGGUUGUGCCCUUGAGGCGUGGCUUCCGGAGCUAACGCGUUAAAUCGACCGCCUGGGGAGUACGGCCGCAAGGUUAAAACUCAAAUGAAUUGACGGGGGCCCGCACAAGCGGUGGAGCAUGUGGUUUAAUUCGAUGCAACGCGAAGAACCUUACCUGGUCUUGACAUCCACAGAACUUUCCAGAGAUGGAUUGGUGCCUUCGGGAACUGUGAGACAGGUGCUGCAUGGCUGUCGUCAGCUCGUGUUGUGAAAUGUUGGGUUAAGUCCCGCAACGAGCGCAACCCUUAUCCUUUGUUGCCAGCGGUUAGGCCGGGAACUCAAAGGAGACUGCCAGUGAUAAACUGGAGGAAGGUGGGGAUGACGUCAAGUCAUCAUGGCCCUUACGACCAGGGCUACACACGUGCUACAAUGGCAUAUACAAAGAGAAGCGACCUCGCGAGAGCAAGCGGACCUCAUAAAGUAUGUCGUAGUCCGGAUUGGAGUCUGCAACUCGACUCCAUGAAGUCGGAAUCGCUAGUAAUCGUAGAUCAGAAUGCUACGGUGAAUACGUUCCCGGGCCUUGUACACACCGCCCGUCACACCAUGGGAGUGGGUUGCAAAAGAAGUAGGUAGCUUAACCUUCGGGAGGGCGCUUACCACUUUGUGAUUCAUGACUGGGGUGAAGUCGUAACAAGGUAACCGUAGGGGAACCUGCGGUUGGAUCACCUCCUUA
rnacentral:rRNA from 1 species